rnacentral:rRNA from 1 species
AGUGAACGCUGGCGGUAGGCCUAACACAUGCAAGUCGAACGGCAGCACAGUAAGAGCUUGCUCUUACGGGUGGCGAGUGGCGGACGGGUGAGGAAUGCAUCGGAAUCUACUCUGUCGUGGGGGAUAACGUAGGGAAACUUACGCUAAUACCGCAUACGACCUACGGGUGAAAGCAGGGGAUCUUCGGACCUUGCGCGAUUGAAUGAGCCGAUGCCCGAUUAGCUAGUUGGCGGGGUAAGAGCCCACCAAGGCGACGAUCGGUAGCUGGUCUGAGAGGAUGAUCAGCCACACUGGAACUGAGACACGGUCCAGACUCCUACGGGAGGCAGCAGUGGGGAAUAUUGGACAAUGGGCGCAAGCCUGAUCCAGCCAUACCGCG